UACGAAGGGGGCGAGCGUUGUUCGGAUUUACUGGGCGUAAAGGGCGCGCAGGCGGUUCUGUUUGUCGAGUGUGAAAGCCCCGGGCUCAACCUGGGAACUGCGCUCGAAACGGCGGAACUAGAGUUCGGGAGAGGAGAGUGGAAUUCCCAGUGUAGAGGUGAAAUUCGUAGAUAUUGGGAAGAACACCGGUGGCGAAAGCGGCUCUCUGGCCCGGUUCUGACGCUGAGGCGCGAAAGCGUGGGGAGCAAACAGG
rnacentral:rRNA from 1 species